UGGGGAAUAUUGCACAAUGGGCGAAAGCCUGAUGCAGCAACGCCGCGUGCGGGAUGACGGCCUUCGGGUUGUAAACCGCUUUCAGCAGGGACGAAGGUUUUCUGACGGUACCUGCAGAAGAAGCACCGGCUAACUACGUGCCAGCAGCCGCGGUGAUACGUAGGGUGCGAGCGUUGUCCGGAAUUAUUGGGCGUAAAGAGCUUGUAGGCGGUCCGUUGCGUCGGAAGUGAAAACUCAGGGCUUAACCCUGAGCCUGCUUUCGAUACGGGCGGACUUAGAGGGAUGUAGGGGAGAACGGAAUUCCUGGUGGAGCGGUGGAAUGCGCAGAUAUCAGGAGGAACACCAGUGGCGAAGGCGGUUCUCUGGACAUUUCCUGACGCUGAGAAGCGAAAGCNUGGGGAGCAAACAGGCUUAGAUACCCUGGUAGUCCACGCCGUAAACGGUGGGCACU
rnacentral:rRNA from 1 species